GGCGGCGGUGGCGGAGCCAGCUCGAGAGAGGCUAUAUUCAUCUGUGUUGAUCACUGCUGUGUUUCCUGAACAUGCCUAUAAAACAUACUGAAGAAGGGUGCCUGAAAUUUGGCUCAAGUGACUCCCUUUACAUGUGGACCCAAGCUGACACUGGAUUUGUC